CCCGCUCAGGACGAACGCGGGCGGCGUGCUUAAUACAUGCAAGUCGAGCGGACCGACGGGAGCUUGCUCCCUUAGGUCAGCGGCGGACGGGUGAGUAACACGUGGGUAACCUGCCUGUAAGACUGGGAUAACUCCGGGAAACCGGGGCUAAUACCGGAUGCUUGAUUGAACCGCAUGGUUCAAUCAUAAAAGGUGGCUUUUAGCUACCACUUACAGAUGGACCCGCGGCGCAUUAGCUAGUUGGUGAGGUAACGGCUCACCAAGGCGACGAUGCGUAGCCGACCUGAGAGGGUGAUCGGCCACACUGGGACUGAGACACGGCCCAGACUCCUACGGGAGGCAGCAGUAGGGAAUCUUCCGCAAUGGACGAAAGUCUGACGGAGCAACGCCGCGUGAGUGAUGAAGGUUUUCGGAUCGUAAAACUCUGUUGUUAGGGAAGAACAAGUACCGUUCGAAUAGGGCGGUACCUUGACGGUACCUAACCAGAAAGCCACGGCUAACUACGUGCCAGCAGCCGCGGUAAUACGUAGGUGGCAAGCGUUGUCCGGAAUUAUUGGGCGUAAAGCGCGCGCAGGCGGUUUCUUAAGUCUGAUGUGAAAGCCCCCGGCUCAACCGGGGAGGGUCAUUGGAAACUGGGGAACUUGAGUGCAGAAGAGGAGAGUGGAAUUCCACGUGUAGCGGUGAAAUGCGUAGAGAUGUGGAGGAACACCAGUGGCGAAGGCGACUCUCUGGUCUGUAACUGAACGCUUGAGGCGCGAAAGCGUGGGGAGCGAACAGGAUUAGAUACCCUGGUAGUCCACGCCGUAAACGAUGAGUGCUAAGUGUUAGAGGGUUUCCGCCCUUUAGUGCUGCAGCAAACGCAUUAAGCACUCCGCCUGGGGAGUACGGUCGCAAGACUGAAACUCAAAGGAAUUGACGGGGGCCCGCACAAGCGGUGGAGCAUGUGGUUUAAUUCGAAGCAACGCGAAGAACCUUACCAGGUCUUGACAUCCUCUGACAACCCUAGAGAUAGGGCUUCCCCUUCGGGGGCAGAGUGACAGGUGGUGCAUGGUUGUCGUCAGCUCGUGUCGUGAGAUGUUGGGUUAAGUCCCGCAACGAGCGCAACCCUUGAUCUUAGUUGCCAGCAUUCAGUUGGGCACUCUAAGGUGACUGCCGGUGACAAACCGGAGGAAGGUGGGGAUGACGUCAAAUCAUCAUGCCCCUUAUGACCUGGGCUACACACGUGCUACAAUGGGCAGAACAAAGGGCAGCGAAGCCGCGAGGCUAAGCCAAUCCCACAAAUCUGUUCUCAGUUCG
rnacentral:rRNA from 1 species